rnacentral:misc_RNA from 1 species
CGACCCCAGGUCGGGCGGGACUACCC